rnacentral:tRNA from 2 species
GCGGGGGUAGCUUAGCCCGGCUAGAGCGCCCGGCUCAUAACCGGGAGGUCCCGGGUUCAAAUCCCGGCCCCCGCACCA